UGUGUCACCUAGAAUUAUUAAUCUAGAAUAGCUUCACUGGAGUGAAAGGAGUCACAUUGCUGUACAUCUUCUAUCUACCACUUGUGCUCCCGCUGGAACUCCACCUGCGCUUUUGUAGCUCUCCUUGUUUAGAAUCCUUUCUAAAUUUCUGUUGGUGUUUUAAGUUCCUUAAGUAAACAUACUAGUUAAAAAAUGUGAAUUAUGGCUAAGAACAGAAAGAGAAUGUUAUUUGAAAGAAAUAUGUGUGCCUGGGGCAGUCCAAUAAUUCCUUAUCCUGUCACAUCUCAUCUACAAAACCUGGGAGAAACUCAUUUUUCUCCAUUGAUUUAAUAACACAGUCUCCAAGCUGUGCCCUGUGUUCUAAACUGGCACCUUUGUCACCUUGCCCCAAAGCAGGUGAGCCCAAUGAAGUGAGGUUCUCCCGGAGGCUCUGGUGGGACCUUUGAUGAAAGCCAUUCCUCCGCUUCUGGCUUGCACCGUGGGUGGCACCCUCGGGGGUCCAGGCUGCUCUGGAGCUCCCUUGAGUGGGACUGUCGGGGCUCGGCUCCUGCCGGGGCACUGCAGGGCUCUGCUCGGCCGGUGCUGCUCCCACAGCGCCUGUGCGAUGCUAUGGGCAGAGGAACGCACAUCAGAGCUUGUGUACGCAGCAGAGCCCGCUGUUUGUGGGACAGAGAUGCAAGUUCUACCUGUUUUAGCCUUUAGCAAAUGACUCGUUAUCUGGGAAGUCUCACCCUGGUAAAUAUUCCCCUCCUUACUUUUUGGACAGAUCCCUGGUGACUUUCCAUCUUCUUUUUCUUGUAGAUUGCUGGAUUCCAGUGACACACCAGGCUGUCAUUCUGGACACUGUAAUUCUUGUUACCAAGAAGCCAAUAGGUUUUCAUUUUCCCUUUGCCCUGGGACAAGAAAAGGAGAGAGCAGAAAACAGCUGUUCUCAUGGCACAUGAAGCAGAGCAGAGAAUCGCUAUGGCCAGGGCUACUACCUGUACUGCAUUUAUUACCUCUCCUUCUCUCAUAAGUGGCUGCUCUUUGGGGAAAGAAUUCUAAUUCCUAUGUGGUUUGGGUGCUAAUAAUCCUUUCAGUUCAGAGAAGGGCCUUGCUGGUCACUGGCAGCGUAUGGGGUCUGGCAGACCCCCAUAGCAGCCCUCACAGGGCUGUGCUUGUGUUGGUAGCUAGAAAGGUGGUGAUAACGCAGCAGUGUUUUGGCUACUGCUGAGCAGUGAUUGCAGCAUCCAGGCUGUCUCUCCAACCCUUCCCCCCUUCACCUGUAGGCUGGGGGUGGGCAAGAUCUUGGGAGGGGACAUAACCAGGACAGCUGACCCAAAGUGACCAACGGGAUAUUCCAUACCGUAUGACGUCUGCUCAGAUAGAAAAGCUAAGAGAAAGGAGGAGGAAGGAGGGGGCCGUUCAUUAUUUAUGAUGUUUGUCUUCCAAAGGAACCACUACGAAGGAAGCCCUACUUCCCGGGAAGUGACUGAACCGCUUGAUGAUGGGAAGUACAGAAGAACUUCUCUUGCUUUCCUUUGCUUCCAUGUGCAUGACUUUAGCUAUUGCUUUCUUAAACUGCCUUUAUCUUGACACACAAGUGUUUUUUUCAUCUUAUUUUCUUCCACCACCCCCCAUUCUGCUGAGGAGGGGAGUGACAGAGCAGCUUGGUGGGCACCUGGCAUCGAACCAAGGUCAACACACCACACGGUUUAAAAUCACCUUUACAACCGUGUGUCGUAAUUAUAUCCUAACACUUUCAGCCAUAUUCAUGUGCUUCCAUGCAGGUGCAGACAUAGCAGCUGUAUUUCAAAGCAUACAGUAACACUUUUUCAUCAGAUAGGAGGAGUAAUGUAUAGCCACUUCCAACUGAAUUAGCAAAAGAACCUUGGGGCUGUGGUUAAAAAUUGCAAUUCACGGAACAGCAAUGGUCAAACCUGUCAUAUCCCCUCCCCAUCUCAUUAAACGCCUUUACUGUUGCAAAGUUACAGAAAAGCUGUUACCUUGACUUCAAUUUCUCCUCUCAGUUCAAUUUCAUAUGCAUCAUCUGUGAGAAGGGCAUCGUAUGUUGCAGAGCUGAUAUGGAUCUUCUGUGCUGCGAUUUAGAACAGAGCAUUAUAAAUUAAUGAUUCCCCUAUUCCCAGAGACUACACACCAGCCCUCCUGCAUUUAUCAGCCCAGUGUUUCCACCUCCUCUUUGGAAAAUGUCAGGCUGAGGAAGAAGCACAAAGAAGGGAUUUUUCCCAUUUUACAAGGAGGAAACUAAUUUCUUGCUCCUAUAUACUGAUGAUCUAAUGAUGCUGGCUGGCUCUCCUGAGUAGGCUCUUAAACCCAGAGAAGACAACUCACCAAUAUAGGAUCUCUGAUAUCUACAGCUACACUUCUGGAAAUUUCAGCUCCCCUUCCUUCCCCAUCAGCCUGAGUGCUUCACAGCACGUUGCACAGCUCUUCCCAAAACCCCUCAUGAAUAUCUGGAUUUCCAUCCACACUCAACUAUGGGUGCUAAACCAGGUUCCUCAAAACAGUGGCAAGGCCUCUUUGUAUCUGAAGCCAAGCCCUAAGAGUGGUGUUGUCUGGACUCACAUUACAACUGGAGGUGACUCCAUCCCCACCAGCGCAAACCAUGGUGCGUUUCACUGUGCUUCCCCACCAG